rnacentral:rRNA from 1 species
GUGUACAGCCAUACCACCUUGAAUGUGCUCGAUCUCGUCUGAUCUCGGAAGCUAAGCAGGGUCGGGCCUGGUUAGUACUUGGAUGGAAAACCAAAAUACUUCGACAGCCAUUUUAUUUA